AAAAUGCAAAAAUUAGCUGGGCGUGGUGGUGUGUGCCUGUAGUCCCAGCUACUCAGGAGGCUGAGGCAGGAGAAUCGCUUGAACCCAGGAGGCAGAGGUUGCAGUGAGCUGAGAUUGCGCCACUGCACUCCAGCCUGGGUGACCUAGAGUGAGACUCAAUCUAAAAAAAAUAAACAGUUGUAUGAAUGUGAUCUCUUUCUUAAAAUAUCUUAUUGUACUAUACUCACCCUUCUUGUGAUGAUGUGAGAUGCUUAAAUGCCCAUGUGAUGAGAUGUGGUGAAUGACAUAGGCCUUGUAAUGCAGCCUUAGGCUCCUACUGACCUUGAACACAAGCCCACUGCAGUACUGCCACAGUCACUCUGAUAACCAAGACAGCUACUAAGUGACUAAUGGGCAGACAGUGUGUGCAGCAUGGAUAUGCUGGACAAAGGGAUGACUCCUAUCCAGCGAGACAGAGCAGGGUGACUCAAGAUUUCGUCACAACAUUCAGAAGGGCUUACAAUUUAAAACUUAUGAAUUGUUUAUUUCUGGAAUUUUCCAUUUAAUAUUUUCAGGCCACAGUUGACCAUGGGUAACUGAAACCUCAGAAAGUGAAACCAUGGAUGGGGUCAACUAAUGUCCUUUGGUAUGGUGGGAGUGUCGAGUAUGAAAUGGGAGGACAGAUGAGGCUACAGAUAAGCUUAGACUUUAUCCUCAAGGCAGUGGGCAGCCACUGAAGGCUUUUAAACAGAGCUGAGAAGUCGCUGUUAGAUUUUCUGGCAGGAGGUCACCAGUAACCUUGAACAGAGCAGUUUCUGGGAGGUAGGAGCAGAUGCAGAAUUCCAAGAGAACUGUGUUUUUCUUGUCAGACCGGGGCUCCCCAGGGAAUGCUAUGUUGCUCCCAUCAGACUGGUGUACAUCAAGGGUGUUGUGAUACUUCCAUCAAAUUGGUGGUUUCCCAGGACAUUGUGUGUUUCCCCAGAGGGCUAUGUGACCCUUCCCCAGGUACUUUCUCAAAGGGUCUUGAGUCUCUCCCAUCAGACUGAGGAAUCCUCAAAGCUAAGAAACCAUUUUAGGCUGGGCGCGGUGGCUCAUGCCUGUAAUCCCAGCACUUUGGGAGGCCGAGGUGGGCGGAUCACAAGGUCAGGAGUCCGAGACCAUUCUGGCCAACAUGGUGAAACCUAACAAUGCAAAAACUAGCUGGGUGUGGUGGCGGUCGCCUGUAGUCCCAGCUACUCUGGAGGCUGAGGCAGAAGAAUCACUUAAACCCGGGAGGCGGAGGUUGCAGUGAGCUGAGAUCGCACCACUGCACUCCAGCCUGGAGACAGAGCAAGAUUCCGUCUCAAAAAAAAAAAAAAACCAUUUCAUGGACAGAACGAGACGCUGUCUCAAAGAUUAGGAACUCCUCUGUGGGUCGUGUGUGCCGUGAGACUGGACUCCCUAAAGGGCUCUGUGUCCCUUUUAUCAGAUGGGCUCUUUACAGGAUUCUGUGUCUCCCUCAUUGGUCUUGAGCACUUGCUCCCUGGCUGUACUUGGCAAGGGCUUGAGCUGGAAAAGAUGACCAGACUCCCACCGCCCAGAGGGCGUCCCCUGCAGGAGAGCUUCAUGCGCCUGGUGGAGGCCUGUGGGGACUCGGAGCAAAGCAUGGACAACUGGCUGAGUCGGCUGGACGGCUGCCGCUGACUGUAACAUGUAAAGCAGGCACUGAGCACCACCUGCCUGGCAGUCCAGGGCAUGGAGAGGUAAGGCCCCAUUGACAUAGAGAAUAGGGUGAGAUGGGCAGGGCUCUCAACCCCUGGAUGCAAAACUGUGAUUCAGUAAGCAAAUAUAGCCUAGAACUGGGUCCAUUCUAUUCCUGGCCUGGUACAUGGGGCUGAAGGCACAGACAGCACCCUGCUUGUGACUUCACUGGCCCAACUCAUCCUGGACCCCUUGAGCAAGACCAUGGCUGGAUUCCAGGAACUGGUGGAGUGGAAGUGGAUCCAGGAAAAUGCCGUGUGAAGGGAGGACUCAGAUGCACUCCCUGUGGUCUGGGCUCAACCAGCCAAAAGAGCAACAAAGACUCCAGAACCCACUCUACCUCCUCAAUCCCUUGGCCAUCUGUGGAGCCCCAGAGCCUGCGGCUGUGGCAAGGCCUGUUUCUGCGCUGGACCUGCUCACCUGAGCCUGCAGAAGCUGCAUGGGGGAAGAGUGUGGCAAAUAGUGACAGGAAGGGAGAAGACAGAAGCCUCUCAGCCAACUGCUUCAGCCGAGCCCCUAUUCUAAGCACUGGCUCCUUGGAUAGCAGCUGAGAUGUUCCUGAAACCUCUGCAGGCCCCUUAGGACCUUUACACCUUGGAUGAGGGUGCCUGCAACCCAGGUUAGCCAAAAGUACUGAGGGUCUUAAGUUUGAAGUGUCCAAAGUAUAGGGAGGUCUCAAUAAUAAAAGUCUCCAUGAUCAGCAUCAGCUUGCUGGGGUGUCAGUGAAAAGGAAAAAUGAUGAAACAGACACCACAAAAUAUCUGACCAGAAGCCAUUUAUUACCAAACCAAUUUAUUUCUUAG
rnacentral:lncRNA from 1 species